CUCAGCGUAGCUCAGUUGGUAGAGCGACAGACUGUAGUGGUAAUUACGAAGAAAUCUGUUGGUCACUGGUUCGAUUCCGGUUGCUGAGA
rnacentral:tRNA from 1 species